AAUUACUAAUUGAUGGAUGUUUUGGUGUGAUGUGUCCUAUAACCCAUCCCAAGCAGUUGUAGGAUGAGUUUUCAUCUGUGUGAGACCUCUCUGGGAACAUAAUAUCCAAAGAUAGCUGCUAUCAAUUCCUUCCUCCUGGAAUAUACAAGUUCUUCCUCACGUCAAAAGGAAAGACAGUAUACAUUUCAAGAGAAAUUAUUUGCCUACACAGUACCAGAACUAGCCUGAUUUAAAAGUGAUGUCACAGACAAUAAUCAUCCCUGCUAGCUUACAUCACCCACCAUAGGAAUGGGAAAUAACUCAGCUCACCCGAGCAGCUAUAUUCAUGAUCCUCCUCAAUGUCAAACCAUAUCUGCUCUCUAUUGUUUGAGAGUUAUCUUGACCUCUGAUACAUAGCAUCCAUUCACUCUAUUUCUGGUCAUCAAGAGAGUGUGACUGCUGGUUCAUCGCUGAGCUCAAACCAGACAACACAUCCAGAAGCUUCUCCUCACCCAUCCCCCACCCUGGGAAUAUAUGUUCUGUCCACCAUUCCCACAGCAGGAGCUAUUUUCAAGGAUGCAACUUUGAGAGAAAAAAAGAAGAGGCCAGAGGGCCAGUUUGCUCUCUUUCUACCAUGUGAGGAUACAACAGGAAGUCAGCAGUCUGCAAUCCAGAAGAAGGCCUUCACCAGAACCUGAUCAUACUAAAACCCUGAUCUCUACUUCCAGCCUCUAGAACUCUUUUGGUGAUGAGGACUGGGAUCCGAAGCACACCUCUAAUAGCCUACAGGAUAACAAGAUACACAGG